UUACUACGCGUCUCGUGGGCUCGGAGAUGUGUAUAAGAGACAGGCAUAUCAAACUCCGAAUGCCAUCAAGAUGAUUCAUGGGAGUCAGACCAUACGAGAUAAGUUGGAUGGUCAAAAGGGAAAGAGCCCAGACCUACAGCUAAGGUCCCAAAGUACGUGUUAAGUGGAAAAGGAUGUGGGGAUUCUAAGACAACUAGGACGUUGGCUUAGAAGCAGCCAUUCAUUGAAAGAGUGCGUAAUAGCUCACUAGUCGAGAGUCCCUGCGCCGAAAAUGUCCGGGGCUGAAACACGACACCGAAGCUUAGGAAUGUGUAAACAUUGGUAGAGGAGCAUUGCUGGCGGGAUGAAGCCAUACCGUAAGGAGUGGUGGACUGCUAGGAAGAGAGAAUGCCGGAAUGAGUAGCGAGAUGAAGGUGAGAAUCCUUCAGGCCGAAUAUCUAAGGUUUCCAGAGUAAAGCUGAUCUGCUCUGGGUAAGUCGGGACCUAAGGCGAGGUCGAAAGACGUAGUCGAUGGAUAACAGGUUGAAAUUCCUGUACCGCAUAUAAACAGAACUGUGGGGACACAGACAGGGAAUGGAAUCCGGGAGUGGAUAUCCCGGUGCAAGCGAGGUAGGAGUGCUGUUGGCAAAUCCGCAGCACGAUCUGAAGACGUGACGCGUACCGAACAUAAGUAGGGAAGUCCAGGCCCCUGGCUGUCAAGAAAAGCCGCUAUUGUUUUAUAUGUGCCCGUACCGCAAACCGACACAGGUGGAUGAGGAGAGAAUCCUAAGGCCGACGGGAGAAGUAUUGUUAAGGAACUCGGCAAAAUGACUCCGUAACUUCGGGAGAAGGAGUGCCAUGAGAGUGGCCGCAGAGAAAUGGCCCAAGCAACUGUUUAGCAAAAACACAGGUCUAUGCAAAACCGCAAGGUGAAGUAUAUGGGCUGACGCCUGCCCGGUGCUGGAAGGUUAAGGGGAGAGGUUAGCGCAAGCGAAGCUUUGAACUUAAGCCCCAGUAAACGGCGGCCGUAACUAUAACGGUCCUAAGGUAGCGAAAUUCCUUGUCGGGUAAGUUCCGACCCGCACGAA
rnacentral:rRNA from 1 species